rnacentral:lncRNA from 1 species
UUUGGACCUUUCCAGUAACAACCUAACAGGCGAGGUUCCAUCAUCAUUUUUUCAUCUAUCUCAGCUUUCUUAUUUAGGUUUAUCAUUUAAUAAACUAGUUGGUCCAAUUCCAAAUGAAAUCACAAAACAUUCAANNNNNNNNNNNNNNNNNNNNNNNNNNNNNNNNNNNNNNNNNNNNNNNNNNNNNNNNNNNNNNNNNAACAACCACCUCACAGGGUUUAUUGGUGAGUUCACAACUUAUUCUCUGCAAUAUUUGUAUCUCUCUAAUAACAACCUACAUGGUCAUUUUCCAAAUUCAAUGAUUUGGAAAUGAUUCUUUUGAAGGAAAUACAAUGUUAUGUGGAUUCCAAGUGUCUAAAUCUUGCAAAAAGGAUGAAGAUCGGCCAUCACAUUCAACAUCUGAAGAUGAAGAGGAAUCAGGAUUUGGUUGGAAAGCAGUAGCAAUAGGAUAUGCGUGUGGGGCAAUAUUUGGGUUGCUCUUAGGACAUAAUGUAUUCUUCUUUGGAAAACCUGAAUGGCUUGCAAGACUUGUUGAACAUAUGUUUAAUAUGAGACUGAAGAGAAGAAACAACCGAUCCAGUGCAAAUAGCAGAAGAAUGAAUUAAUUUGAUGUUGGUCUUUUAAAAAAUAUAGAUACGUUUGUUUGUAAUUUCAACUUUUCUGUUUGAGUAAUGUAUUAUUUGUUUUAAAAUUAAUAUGUUGCGUUUAUUUCAAGUUGCUAUAUAAAUAAGAAAACUAGUGAUCAUUUGGUUUCAUGUUAUUUUCGUGAUUUUAUUAUGUAUAUACUUUCCGAAAUGUGCUCUGACUUUAUAUUGCUGUUAUUCAUUUGAUGUUUUUAAAUUCUGUAAUGGAUAGGAUAGGUGUUGGUGCGUGACAUGAAUGCCUUUAUCUUUUGAAGAAUGUAUGAAGUUAUUGUAUUUGAAACCAUAUCCUGAAUUUGUCAAUAAGUGUAUUGAACAUAAUAAAAGUGUUUAUCUCAUCAAGUAAGGUAUGCUAAAAUGCUCCCUUAGACAAUGCUUCAUAUAGUAUCCAACUAGCUACCAUGUUUUUAUUUUCCUUCCCUUUGUAUUUCUGCUUCAACCUUUCAAUGAAGUAUCACUCUAUAAAUUGAGAUUCAUUGUAUAGGUAAUGUGUCACUAUGAAGUACCGGCACAAACACAAACCAGGACACCAAACACGAAACCGAUACUACCGACACACAGGUACCUUUAANNNNNNNNNNNNNNNNNNNNNNNNNNNNNNNNAAAGGAAUCAUCAACACAAGCUGAAGCAACUUUUGAUAAUCUAACAGUAGCUUUCAUAUCAAAAGGAAUCAUCAACCUAGGAUUGAAAACUUCACUAAAUCUCACUACACAAACAGUCCUACCUCAUAUCCUGUUGACAUAAAAGUUCCAACAAAAUCACCCACCAACCCAUAAACACCACUUUCCUUAGAACCACCACCAGUCCACCCCUUCCUUCAUUCCAAAAUUCAGUAUCCAUGUAACCAACUAACCCUCUCUUUUCUACUGACCCUCCAUAAUCAGAAAUCCUAGCACAUAAAUUAGAGGACUUAACAUAACCAUGUACAAUAUUUGAUGAGUCUAAAUGAAGUAGAUGUGUUAAUUAGUAACUAAUACGAGAGCUUACAUCAUAAGCUCUUAUGCUUAAUAAGCUAUUUACGUUUGGAUAUGUUCGUUAAAAAGUACUUACAUAAAUUGAAGUGUUUGGAUGUCUCAUCACAUAAGCAAUUGUAAAUUUAAGAUUAACUUUGCAUAAAAAUAAAUUUAAUAUUGAUUCGAAAAGAUAAUUAAAAAAAAAAGGAUACUGUUAAAAAGAUAAGCGUAAAAAGAAAAGAAAAAACCGUAAAAAAGAUACCUUUAAGAUUCAUUCAAAAAAUAAAUUCUAAAAAAUAUGUUAAUAUUGUGCCAAAUGGAGCAUGCGGGAUUCAAAGCGGGAUCCUUUUUCAUAAGCUCCAUGUUAAGCAUAUUCAUAUUAAAAUAUGGCAUAAGUAGCUUGUGAAAUUGUGAUAAGCACUUUUGUUAAUAUAACGACUUAUAUCGGUAGAUAAGCUCACAUAAGCUUAAAACAAGUCGAUCCAAAUGGUGCCCAUGUACAAUUGAAGAAGUCCAACUUGAUCAAUAUACUAAAUAAGGUCAGUAUCGAAUUUCCUAAUUUCCUCUCUGUAAAUUUCCUACUAAGUAAGGUCCAACUUGAUCAUUACGUAGAAUUGAAGAAGUCCAAGUCUCUACUUUUGGACACAAUAUGUUGUCAUAAACACAUUCAAAUAAAGUUAGAACAUUCAAAAUUUCAACUUGAGUAUUACAUACACCGUUGAAAAAUCUUAGUCUUACUUAUCUUAAAAAUACACCAAUUGGUAAAACAUUUCUAUGGAUGCUAAUGGAUUAAUGUUAUUGUCAAUUGGUAAAACAUUUCUUUGGCCAUUCCUAAGGAAGAAUGUUAGUAAGCACACAAAUAGUUGAAUUAGGGUUAAGACGUCUUAUGUGAGGUGAGUUCGAUUUUAGACGACCAGGGAAUGAGUUCAACGAAUAUUAGUUGAACUAAAAUAGUCGAAUUAGAGUUAAUUCGUCUUAAGUGGUGCGAGUUCGAUUUUAGACGAGCAAGGAAUGAGUUUGAUGAAUAUUUUUGGAACUAAAAUAGUCAAAUUAGAGUUAAUUCAUCUUAAGUGACACGAGUUAUAUAGUUUAGAUGAGCAAGGAGUGGGUUAGAGGAAUAUUAGUUAAACUAAAAUAGUCUAAUUAGAGUUAAUUCAUCUUAAGUGGCACGAGUUCUAGUUUAGAUGAGGAAGGAAUGAGUUCGACAAAUUUUAGUUGAACUAAAAUAGUCGAAUUAUAGUUAAUUCGUCUUAAGUGGCGCAAGUUAUAUAGUUUAGAUGAGCAAAAAAUGAGUUAGAGGAAUAUUAGUUAAACUAAAAUAGUCGAAUUAGAAUUAAUUCGUCUUAAGUGGCGCGGAUUCUAGUUUAGAUGAGUAAGGAAUUCGUCUUAAAAUAAAAAUAUUUCUUAAUCAAAAUGUUAAUUUUUUUAAUAAAGUAGCUUAAUCAUUUUUUAAUAAAUAAAGUGGAUGUGUAUAUUAAAUAUUUUUUGAAGUAAUUUUUCUAAACAAGAAUUUAUAAUAUAGCAACAAGAGUUUUCUUAAGGCACAUAUUAAGGAUAUCAAUAAGUUAUUCUGAGUUUAACUCAAUUGAUAGAAAAUUUUUAUUAUAUAUGUAGAAGUCGUUCGGAUUUUAUACUCUUUACUUAUUUAUUUUAAGAGUGAAAUUUUUAACCACUAAACUACUUAAAAGAAAUAAAUAUUAAAAUUUAGAUCCAAGUAAUUGCUAACCUUUAAGGUACCCCAAGUUUUAUUUUUUAAAAAAAAUAUGAAAGCCGUACUCUUUUGAUUUAUAUACGAUCCAAGUAAUUUAGAACAUUCAAAAACAUUUCAAAUUGAGUAUUAUAUACGGUUCAAAAAUCUUGGUCUUACUUAUCUUAAAAAUACACCAUACAUUUCUACUGAUGCUAAUGAAUUAAUGUUAUUGUCAAUUAUCCUAUCACUAUAAGUAUAAUUGCAACCACAAAAACUGCUUCUAUUGGAGUGCUCCAUACGGUCGAUGAAAAGCAUCCCUUGCUACAAAACAAAAGCACGCCGAGACUCAAUUAUAUAUUAUAUAAAUAAAUUGAGGGUAAUCAAUUGGUAUAUCCAAAAUCAUCAUCAGGUAAAAAAGAAAUAAUAUCAAGUUGCUCUAAAUGGCCUCCUUUUUUAUUCUAUNNNNNNNNNNNNNNNNNNNNNNNNNNNNNNNNNNNNNNNNNNNNNNNNNNNNACUUUACUUCCUACACAUUCUCAUUAUGCAACCAUCAUGACAGCUCUGCCUUGUUACAAUUCAAGAACUCAUUUUUUGUCAACACUACACCUUCCGAUACUUUUUGGUUCUAUGAGUGUUCCUCUUUUUCUUUCAAAACAGAAACUUGGAAAAACAAUACAGAUUGUUGUGAGUGGGAUGGUGUCACGUGUGACACCGUGUCAGAUUAUGUUGUUGGUCUGGACCUUAGUUGCAACGAUCUGAAAGGUGAAUUACAUCCCAAUAGCACUAUCUUCCAGCUUAAACAUCUUCAACAACUCAACUUGGCUUUUAAUGAUUUUUCUUGGUCUCCAUUGCAUGCUGGUAUUGGUGAUUUAGUGAGUCUCACACAUCUAAAUCUAUCAAACUCAGACCUCAGUGGUAAUAUUCCCUCCACAAUCUCUCAUUUGUCAAAAUUAAUAUCACUUGAUCUUGGCAGUUACUCGAUGGAAUUGAAUCCAUUGACAUGGAAGAAACUCAUUCAUAAUGCAACUAAUUUAAGGGAGCUUUAUCUUCAUACUGUGAAUAUGUCCUCAAUCAAAGAGAGCUCUUUGUCUAUGCUAAAGAAUUUGUCAUCCACUUUGGUUUCUCUUAGUCUAGGAUCCACUGAAUUGCAAGGAAAUUUGUCAAGUGACGUCCUCUCUUUACCCAACCUUCAAAAACUAGAUUUGUCAAAUAAUCACCUUAUUGGUCAACUUCCAAAGUCCAACUGGAGCAUGGCUCUAAGGUACUUGGACCUCUCUUCCAUUCCUUUCUCAGGUGAAAUUCUUUAUUCCAUAGGUCAAUUGAAGUCUCUAACUCAUUUAUCCCUUCAAGAAUGCAAUUUAGAUGGGACGAUUCCUCUACCUUUGUGGAACUGGAACCUCACCCAACUAACAUAUUUGGACCUUUCAGAAAAUAAACUUAACGGUGAGAUCCCGCCAUCAUUGUUUUAUCAGUUACCUCAUCUUUCUUUUUUAGAUUUAUCUGAAAAUAAACUUAACGGAGAAAUCCCAAAUGUUUAUGGAAANNNNNUUUAAUAAACUAGUUGGUCCAAUUCCAAAUGAAAUCACAAAACAUUCAAAAUUGAGCUAUUUGGAUUUAGGUUCUAACAUGUUAAGUGGAACAAUUCCGCAUUGGUGUUAUAAUUUGCCUUCGUUGUUAGUGUUGCGCCUCAGAAACAACCACCUCACAGAUUUCAUUGGUGAGUUCACAACUUAUUCUCUGCAAUAUUUGUAUCUCUCUAAUAACAACCUACAUGGUCAUUUUCCAAAUUCAGUUUUUGAACUCCAGAAUCUUACCCGCUUAGAUUUGUCAUCAACAAACUUGAGUGGUGUUGUGGAUUUUCACCAAUUUUCAAUAUUUAAAUAUCUAUAUUACCUCAAUCUUUCACACAAUAGUUUUCUUUCUAUCAAUAUUGAUAGCAAAGUUGAAUCCAUAUCAUCACCUUACCUUGAAUAUUUAGAUUUAUCUUUUAGUAAUAUUAAUAGUUUUCCUAAAUUACUGGCACGACUAC